AGGGGACCCCGAAUGACGCCCCGCAGGACCCAGUCGUAGCCGAUGUUCCACAGCAGGGGGCCCAGGACAGACCCCUGCGGAACACCGCGCUCGACGGGGAAGCGGAACAUCGCCCCA
rnacentral:pre_miRNA from 1 species